GCGAGUUGGAGCGCCCCUGGGAGGGGCUGGGGCUCGGGGGCGCGCGCAGAAGGGGCGGGGCGCCGGGAGGGAGGGACGGCGCCGCGCCCCGGGGAAGCCGGCGGACCCGGGUCCUACGGCGGCGGGACUCAGGACCCGGGGACGGCGACAGUUCGCAGGCGUUCGUGGGCUCGCCGCCCACCCACUAGGGUCCUUGUGCUUUCCCAGAAAUGAGGGAGGGAUCCCCGGGACCGCAGGCCUUCAGGGAAAGCUGCCUGCCAAGCAUUUUCUACUGGGAAUGCCUGCAAGGGUCAAUUUAAGGGUGUGGCAAUCAGCCGGAGGCCUUGUCAGCUGCCUGUCCACAUGCCUGUCUGCUUCAGGACCUUGGAAAACACCUUCGUACCACCCUAGAAAACAAACAAGCCCCACUCCAAAGGGGUAUGGAGCCAACUGAUGAUGUGUCUCCCAUAGAAUUCCUAUACCGGCAACACAACCUGUUCCAGCCAGUCUUCAGACCAGGAACAAGACUCCACUUCUCUUUGAUGCAGAAAUCACAAAAACAUGCUUAAUGAGGACAAGGCUUUGGGAGUCAUGGCCCUAUUCCUUAAAUGUCCCGGAAGGCUCUGAUUCCUUGUCUCUUUGAUGGAACUAAAAAGUGUCACCUUCUAUACACAUCUAGUGCUGCUUAGCAUGAGGUCAAAUUUGCUGGAAGCCAAAUUAAAUCCAGACAUUCUUGGUAGGGCACUGUCCCCAAUACAUACAACUAGGUUCACAGAUCAAGGAAUUAUGCAGCAAGCCAUUCCCAAAUCACAACGAAGGUCAGAUUCUUAGGAAAAUGUCAUGCUGUGGAUUCCUUAUUGCUUGAAAUAUCUUUGGGAAUUAAAGUAGUCCAGUUACCACUUCCCCUUAGACCUAUUCCAGAACAUAAUUAAACCACUCAAGCACUCAGGGGAUGAACAAUUCCAUGGGGCUUCUAUAAAAUUCUAUUUGUGAACCUCAUGCCUGCCACAGGAGGUUCGCUCAACUCUUUCUAUCACAUGGGCACGGCACCCAGUCUUCUCUAGGCGUUCACAUUUUAACAAACUAUGAUUCUACAGGAAUGUGCCCUUUGUUUUCUCAAAUCAGGAUGUAGGGGGUAAAUAUCCUUAUUGGUCACAUAAGAAAUGGGAAUUCAAUUCCCCAACGGGAACACUUAAAAUUGCAGAGGCAGUAUGCUCUGGUGGAUAAAAAAAAGAGGUAAAUUAGGAGUACAAAGACGUGGGUUCUAACUUCAGUUCUGCCAUUAGCUAGCUGUGUGACAUUGAGCAAAUCACCACAAGUCUCUGAACCUCCUCUUUCUUGAUGAAAUAAAUUGUAUAAUUUUUAUAAUUGUAUAAUAAUU
rnacentral:lncRNA from 1 species